GAAGUUCCUUGUAUCACCAAACUUGUGCAUUUCAAUGUCAUUGCAGACAAAUUAUUUCAAAUAUUAUUGAUUAAGUCCUGGACUACUUCAAGUGUAUUUAAGUUCAUGUUUAUAUAAAUAGUGAAAUGGGGUCUAAUCAACUACAAAAUUCGACAACUUAUUGAAUCCAGACGUAUAGUCUGUAACGACCAUCGUCUUGAAAGUCAUUACAGCUAACAUACUUAGCCUGAUAACCCGGAUAGAUAUAUUUGAUAUUAUAGUUAUUGUACUAUAUGCUUACAAAAAAGG
rnacentral:lncRNA from 1 species